GCUGUGGUUAUCCCUGGGACUCGAUUGGUACUUUUUCUAACAAGUGCAAAGACUCUGAGAAGAUUUUUUAAGUCCAUCCAUUUAAUCAUUAAAUUUCAUGUUUAUACAUAUCAUUUCAUUGAUUUCAAGUGAGGAAGGACAGGAAUGUCUCUUUUCUUACAUUUCUUGCUUGCAAUUAAUUUAAGUGCAUAUGUUAAAAUUUUUUUAAAAAUUGGAGGAUUGAGAAUAUAAAACCUAAAACAUUUAAAACUGUAAAUCUCUCAAUAUGAAAACAACAGUUUUUAAAUUAAAAAAAUGUUUCCAGUUCCUUUUUUUCCUAAAGGUGAUAUUUCCCACCAGCAAUUGAAUUGGUACAAAUAGUGAUCUAUAGAGAUGUACUUAUCAACAGUAAUUUGAGGCCCCUCAUAUAGCAGGGGCAGGAAAUACCUUACAGAGAUGUGAGAGGAAAAUGAUAUCCUCGUGAUGGAUUUGGGGGUAGGCUGAUAAGGAUACGACUGCUUUGUUCUUGAUGGGAGACUAGUACAGAAAUAGUUGUCUGAGUCAGACCUCAGCACAGUGACGACUUCCUGACAAGCGCUCUCCACAUCUAAAGUACAUUAAGUUUAAAUUCAGGGAACCCUCACACCUCAGUUCUUUCAACUUUUCUUUUCAGCUAUAACUAACGAACAAAAACCAUGGUUUUAAAUAAAGACCAUAAUGUUUGAUGUGUGUAGCUUAUUGGAGCUAGACUGUCACAACAGUUGAAUCAGUGAAGGGCAUGUGUAUGUUGGACCAUAGGUAGUGCUGUGUACCCGAGCAAUCACCCAGAUGGGCAUUGUUUUGAGUGGUGGAUAUUGACUUCUAAUGCAAUUUGUAGAAACUUUCAGCACCAGUAAAAGGAGAUGUACAUGAGUCUUUUCAGUGACUUAGAAUCAGGACCAUCUUUUAUAUAUUACACAUCUUCCAAUUUUGAAUAGCUUUUCUGUUUUAGAGAAAAAUACUUUUCUAAAAAACCUCUAAUAGUUAGCACUUUAUAAGUUACAAUGGGAUCAACUGCUCUCAAGCAUGUAGUUAAACUAGAGUCAGCAAGAUAUAUGGCUUAUGUGCUUUAGCUGGUAUCCAGAUACAUGUGUGCCUCUUCUACUGUACCGACGGGAGAUGCUGAGUAUACAGAAAAUGGUAUCUAGAUACAUGUGUGCCUCUUCUACUGUACCGAUGGGAGAUGCUGAGUAUACAGAAAAUGUACAACAGACACAUUCAUACCUAGUUUGAUCAUUAUUACCUCUUAGAAAUUGUUUCUGAAUGUCUCUUCUAGAUAUUUCUCUGUGCCUAAUUUAAGUAGUGUGCCAUGUUAGCAUGUAUCACACCCAUUGCCUAACCCGCCUUAAAUUAUUUCCUCUAUGCUUUGCAUGGUUCUUCCCCACAUAAACCAGGAGAGAAUUCCAAAUGAGAAUUCUACACUAGAGGGUAAAUAAAAGUGAAUGCCAGUUCCUAGAACAUGUAGCUUAGACCCACAAAUUAAAUAAUCCUUACUCUUUCAGACAGAUAUGUGUUUUGCUAUAAUUUGAAUUGGUGCAAGGACAUGCAUGUUUCCAUCGAUAUAUAUAUAUAUAUAUGGUUUUUUCAAGACAGAGUUUCUCUGUAUAGCCCUGGCUGUCCUGGAACUCACUCUGUAGACCAGGCUGGCCUCAAACUCAGAAAUCCACCUGCUUCUGCCUCCCAAGUGCUGGGAUUAAAGACAUGCGCCACCACUGCCCGGUUCAUCGAUACAAUAUUAAAUUCAUUGUUAUUAUCUACAGAAGAUGCAGGGUCUAUUUUAAUAUAGACACCAACUCAGAUCAUUCACCUGGUAAUAAACCAGAUGUCUUUAUAUUAGGGAAAAGAUGAUUAGAGAGGGAUUUCCCACACCCAGGUCAGCUGACUAGGACUUGAAAGUUUAUCCCAAAAGCUUGUAGGUGUGAGUGACAGGGUAGACAGUAGUGGGAGAAACAGACUGAGACACUGAAGUUGGAUACAGGGCAUAGCUCCAGAUUCAGCUAUGCAGAAGGGUCACUAGCAAAAGAAUCCUGGUGCUAACAGAAUGGUCACGAUUAAAAUAACAAAAUAGUAGAAUAUCUCGAUUCCAGUUUAGAAUCAUUCCAAACUUCCAAACUCCCAGGCACAGAUCCUUAAGGCAUUUUAAGUAAAUAGUACAUUAUUAUAUUCUUAACAGAUAUAUUGUUAAUUAACAUUAUAAAAGGCCAUUUUGCAUAUUAUUGUAUUAUAAAUAUAUUAUACAUUAUUGGCAGUUAUUUUACACAUUGUUGUGACAAAGAACUGCCUGGCAAAAACAAUGUAAAGAGGGAAGGAAAGAAAGGAGGGAAAGAAGGAAGGUUUGUAUAGGACGUGGUGGGAAGGAUGUGGCAGUGAGAGAUUGGUCACAUCACGUACAGUCAGCAUGAGGAAAGGGAUGAGUGCUUAGCCCACUUUCUCUAUUUUCUUUAUCCUGGUGGCCUGAUGGAUAGUACCACCCACCUGAAGGGCUACUCUUCCCUGUUAAAAUUUCCUGAGAACAUCUUUACAGACAUACCGAGAUGUGUUUCCAUGGUGAUUCUAAAUCCUACCAAGCUGACAUUGCAGCUUACCUAUCAGACAUGCCCUGUGUCAUUUGUCUAGUAUAAUUCCAUGCAGGUCUCAAAGCUUCCUCUACCCUUCUUAUC
rnacentral:lncRNA from 1 species